rnacentral:rRNA from 1 species
UGAGGAAUAUUGGUCAAUGGACGCAAGUCUGAACCAGCCAAGUAGCGUGCAGGAUGACGGCCCUAUGGGUUGUAAACUGCUUUUAUAUGGGGAUAAAGUGGGGAACGUGUUCCCUUUUGCAGGUACCAUAUGAAUAAGGACCGGCUAAUUCCGUGCCAGCAGCCGCGGUAAUACGGAAGGUUCGGGCGUUAUCCGGAUUUAUUAGGUUUAAAGGGAGCGUAGGCCGUUUGGUAAGCGUGUUGUGAAAUGUAGGAGCUCAACUUCUAGAUUGCAGCGCGAACUGUCAGACUUGAGUGCGCACAACGUAGGCGGAAUUCAUGGUGUAGCGGUGAAAUGCUUAGAUAUCAUGAAGAACUCCGAUUGCGAAGGCAGCUUACGGGAGCGCAACUGACGCUGAAGCUCGAAGGUGCGGGUAUCGAACAGG